rnacentral:tRNA from 10 species
GGGAUAUAGCUCAGGGGUAGAGCAUUUGACUGCAGAUCAAGAGGUCCCCGGUUCAAAUCCGGGUGCCCCCCCGCUGGUUUUCUUUCUGCUUCAGAAUACUCUAUGAACUCGACUAUUCUGAGGCCACUCAAGUCACCAUCAGACCGCGUAUUAGGUGAGUUUUUCAGGUGGCUAAUUUCACCCAAGUGGCUUGUGGACUGGUAGGGGAAGAGGAAGGAAAAGGAGCGAAGGAGGCUCCAAGGUAAUCUGGCUCAGGAAGUGGCUGUGGGAGGCUUUCAUCAUGACCCAGGGUGGCCAUUUGUGCUUUGGGAGCUCUCGUUUACUGUUUAUCUUUCCAAGGGAGAAGCAUAGGCAGGAAGUCGGGGGAGCAGGCUGAAUGACUGCACCAGACUGCACUGACGGCACCAGAACCACCUGGGCGCUGCUCCUGCACAGUGUACCUGGACCUCAGCGCGAGGCUCCGAUGUGUAGGUCUGAGGAGAGCACUGG